ensembl:lncRNA
UAUAUUCUUCUUUUUUAUUGGUCAUUAAAAAAGUUCCUCCCUCCUCCUCCCUCCUCCUCAGGUCCUCCUCCCUCCUCCUCCUCAGGUCGUCCCACCUCCUCCUCCCUCCUCCUCCUCAGGUCGUCCCACCUCCUCCUCCCUCCUCCCACCUCCUCCUCCCUCCUCCUCCUCAGGUCGUCCCACCUCCUCCUCAGGUCCUCCUCCCUCCUCCCUCCUCCCUCCUCCCACCUCCUCCUCCCUCCUACUCAGGUCCUCCUCCCUCCUCCCUCCUCCCUCCUCCCACCUCCUCCUCCCUCCUACUCAGGUCCUCCUCCCUCCUCCCUCCUCCCUCCUCCCUCCUCCCACCUCCUCCUCCCUCCUACUCAGGUCCUCCUCCCUCCUCCCUCCUCCCUCCUCCUCAGGUCCUCCUCCCUCCUCCUCCCUCCUCCUCAGGUCCUCCUCCCUCCUCCUCCCUCCUCCUCAGUUCGUCCCACCUCCUCCUCCCUCCUCCCACCUCCUCCUCCCUCCUCCUCCUCAGGUCGUCCCACCUCCUCCUCAGGUCCUCCUCCCUCCUCCCUCCUCCCUCCUCCCACCUCCUCCUCCCUCCUACUCAGGUCCUCCCUCCCUCCUCCCUCCUCCCUCCUCCUCAGGUCCUCCUCCCUCCUCCUCCCUCCUCCUCAGGUCCUCCUCCCUCCUCCUCCCUCCUCCUCAGGUCGUCCCACCUCCUCCUCCCUCCUCCCACCUCCUCCCUCCUCCUCCUCCUCAGGUCGUCCCACCUCCUCCUUAGGUCCUCCUCCCUCCUCCCUCCUCCCUCCUCCCACCUCCUCCUCCCUCCUCCCUCCUCCUCCUCCCUCCUCCUCAGGUCCUCCUCCCUCCUCCCUCCUCCCUCCUCCUCAGGUCCUCCUCCCUCCUCCUCAAGUCCUCCUCCCUCCUCCUCCCUCCUCCUCAGGUCCUCCUCCCUCCUCCCUCCUCCUCAGGUCGUCCCACCUCCUCCUCCCUCCUCCUCAGGUCCUCCUCCCUCCUCCCUCCUCCUCAGGUCGUCCCACCUCCUCCUCCCUCCUCCCACCUCCUCCUCCCUCCUCCUCCUCAGGUCGUCCCACCUCCUCCUCAGGUCCUCCUCCCUCCUCCCUCCUCCCUCCUCCCACCUCCUCCUCCCUCCUACUCAGGUCCUCCUCCCUCCUCCCUCCUCCCUCCUCCUCAGGUCCUCCCUCCCUCCUCCUCCCUCCCUCCUCAGGUCCUCCUCCCUCCUCCUCCCUCCUCCUCAGGUCGUCCCACCUCCUCCUCCCUCCUCCCACCUCCUCCCUCCUCCUCCUCAGGUCGUCCCACCUCCUCCUUAGGUCCUCCUCCCUCCUCCCUCCUCCCUCCUCCCACCUCCUCCUCCCUCCUCCCUCCUCCUCCUCCCUCCUCCUCAGGUCCUCCUCCCUCCUCCCUCCUCCCUCCUCCUCAAGUCCUCCUCCCUCCCUCCUCCCUCCCUCCUCCUCAGGUCCUCCUCCCUCCUCCCUCCUCCUCAGGUCGUCCCACCUCCUCCUCCCUCCUCCUCAGGUCCUCCUCCCUCCUCCUCCCUCCUCCUCAGGUCGUCGCACCCUCCUCCCUCCUCCCUCCCUCCCUCCCUCCCUCCCUCCCUCCCUCCCUCCCUCCCUCCUCCCUCCUCCCUUUCCUCCUCAGGUCCUCCCUCCCCUCCUCCCUCCUCCCUCCUCCUCAGGUCCUCCUCCCUCCUCCUCCCUCCUCCUCAGGUCCUCCUCCCUCCUCCCUCCUCCUCAGGUCGUCCCACCUCCUCCUCCCUCCUCCCUCCUCCUCAGGUCCUCCUCCCUCCUCCUCCCUCCUCCUCAGGUCCUCCUCCCUCCUCCUCCCUCCUCCUCAGGUCCUCCUCCCUCCUCCCUCCUCCCUCCUCCUCAGGUCCUCCUCCCUCCUCCUCCCUCCUCCUCAGGUCCUCCUCCCUCCUCCCUCCUCCUCAGGUCGUCCCACCUCCUCCCUCCUCCUCCCUCCUCCUCAGGUCGCGCACCUCCUCCUCCCUCCUCCCUCCUCCUCAGGUCCUCCUCCCUCCUCCUCCCUCCUCCUCAGGUCCUCCUCCCUCCUCCUCCCCUCCUCCUCAGGUCGUCCCACCUCCUCCUCCCUCCUCCCACCUCCUCCUCCCUCCUCCUCCUCAGGUCGUCCCACCUCCUCCUUAGGUCCUCCUCCCUCCUCCCUCCUCCCUCCUCCCUCCUCCCACCUCCUCCUCCCUCCUCCCUCCUCCCUCCUCCUCCUCCCUCCUCCUCAGGUCCUCCUCCCUCCUCCCUCCUCCCUCCUCCUCAGGUCCUCCUCCCUCCUCCUCCCUCCUCCUCAGGUCCUCCUCCCUCCUCCCUCCUCCUCAGGUCGUCCCACCUCCUCCUCCCUCCUCCCUCCUCCUCAGGUCCUCCUCCCCUCCUCCUCCCUCCUCCUCAGGUCCUCCUCCCUCCUCCUCCCUCCUCCUCAGGUCCUCCUCCCUCCUCCCUCCUCCCUCCUCCUCAGGUCCUCCUCCCUCCUCCCUCCCUCCUCCUCAGGUCCUCCUCCCUCCUCCCUCCUCCUCAGGUCGUCCCACCUCCUCCCUCCCUCCUCCCUCCUCCUCAGGUCCUCCUCCCUCCUCCUCCCUCCUCCUCAGGUCCUCCUCCCUCCUCCUCCCUCCUCCUCAGGUCCUCCUCCCUCCUCCCUCCUCCCUCCUCCUCAGGUCGUCCCACCUCCUCCUCCCUCCUCCUUUGGACGACACCCAAAGAGUCUGAACUCCAAGACACCUUGAAGCUGUGGAGGAACUGUGGUGGAUAG